rnacentral:rRNA from 1 species
GACGAACGCUGGCGGCGUGCCUAAUACAUGCAAGUUGAGCGCUGAAGGUUGGUACUUGUACCAACUGGAUGAGCAGCGAACGGGUGAGUAACGCGUGGGGAAUCUGCCUUUGAGCGGGGGACAACAUUUGGAAACGAAUGCUAAUACCGCAUAAAAACUUUAAACACAAGUUUUAAGUUUGAAAGAUGCAAUUGCAUCACUCAAAGAUGAUCCCGCGUUGUAUUAGCUAGUUGGUGAGGUAAAGGCUCACCAAGGCGAUGAUACAUAGCCGACCUGAGAGGGUGAUCGGCCACAUCGGGACUGAGACACGGCCCAAACUCCUACGGGAGGCAGCAGUAGGGAAUCUUCGGCAAUGGACGAAAGUCUGACCGCGCAAAGACGCGUGAGUGAAGAAGGUUUUCGGAUCGUAAAACUCUGUUGGUAGAGAAGAACGUUGGUGAGAGUGGAAAGCUCAUCAAGUGACGGUAACUACCGAGAAAGGGACGGCUAACUACGUG